AUUGAACGCUGGCGGAAUGCUUUACACAUGCAAGUCGAGCGGCAGCGCGGCCUUCGGGCUGGCGGCGAGCGGCGAACGGGUGAGUAAUGCAUCGGAACAUGCCCAGUCGUGGGGGAUAACACUUCGAAAGAAGUGCUAAUACCGCAUACGUCCUGAGGGGGAAAGCGGGGGAUCGCAAGACCUCGCGCGAUUGGAGUGGCCGAUGUCAGAUUAGCUAGUUGGUGGGGUAAAGGCCUACCAAGGCGACGAUCUGUAGCUGGUCUGAGAGGAUGAUCAGCCACACUGGGACUGAGACACGGCCCAGACUCCUACGGGAGGCAGCAGCGGGGAAUUUUGGACAAUGGGGGCAACCCUGAUCCAGCCAUUCCGCGUGAGUGAAGAAGGCCUUCGGGUUGUAAAGCUCUUUCGGCAGGAACGAAACGGUGGGCUCUAACAUAGUCCGCUAAUGACGGUACCUGAAGAAGAAGCACCGGCUAACUACGUG
rnacentral:rRNA from 1 species